AUUGAACGCUGGCGGCAGGCCUAACACAUGCAAGUCGAGCGGAUGAAGGGAGCUUGCUCCUGGAUUCAGCGGCGGACGGGUGAGUAAUGCCUAGGAAUCUGCCUGGUAGUGGGGGAUAACGUCCGGAAACGGGCGCUAAUACCGCAUACGUCCUGAGGGGGAAAGUGGGGGAUCUUCGGACCUCACGCUAUCGGAUGAGCCUAGGUCGGAUUAGCUAGUUGGUGGGGUAAAGGCCUACCAAGGCGACGAUCCGUAACUGGUCUGAGAGGAUGAUCAGUCACACUGGAACUGAGACACGGUCCAGACUCCUACGGGAGGCAGCAGUGGGGAAUAUUGGACAAUGGGCGAAAGCCUGAUCCAGCCAUGCCGCGUGUGUGAAGAAGGUCUUCGGAUUGUAAAGCACUUUAAGUUGGGAGGAAGGGCAGUAAGUUAAUACCUUGCUGUUUUGACGUUACCAACAGAAUAAGCACCGGCUAACUUCGUG
rnacentral:rRNA from 1 species